ensembl:lncRNA
CAACACUUAGAACAUGAAGUUCUCAAACCCAACCAUUAGAACAUGAAGCUCUCCAACCCAACACAGAACAUGAAGCUCUCCAACCCAACCCUUAGAACAUGAAGCUCUCCAACCCAACACAGAACAUGAAGCUCUCCAACCCAACACAGAACAUGAAGCUCUCCAACCCAACCCUUAGAACAUGAAGCUCUCCAACCCAACACAGAACAUGAAGCUCUCCAACCCAACACUUUAGAACAUGAAGCUCUCCAACCCAACACAGAACAUGAAGCUCUCAAACCCAACCCUUAGAACAUGAAGUUCUCAAACCCAACCCUUAGAACAUGAAGCUCUCAAACCCAACACUUAGAACAUGAGGUUCUCAAACCCAACACUUAGAACAUGAAGCUCUCAAACCCAACACAGAACAUGAGGUUCUCAAACCCAACCCUUAGAACAUGAAGCUCUCCAACCCAACACUUAGAACAUGAAGUUCUCAAACCCAACCCUUAGAACAUGAAGCUCUCCAACCCAACACAGAACAUGAAGUUCUCCAACCCAACACUUAGAACACGAAGCUCUCAAACCGAACGCCAGA